AGUGAACACUAUAUUUGUGAAGGAGGGAAACCAUCUGACUCUAAACCCUGAUACUGAAGUACAGAGAGAUGAUGUGAAGAUGUGGAUGUUCGGAGAUCAAGACAGUGUCAUUGCACGAAUGACUGGAGGGUCCAGAAAGACAUUUGAUGUUCCUGAUGGGAGAUUCAGAGACAGACUGAAGCUGGAUUAGAAGACCGGAUCUCUGACCAUCACAAACAUCAAAAGCAAAAUUACAGGAUGUUACAAACUACAAAUCAUCAGCAGCAGAGGAUCCAAAUACAAGAAAUUCAAAGUUAUUACACAUGGUUCCAGAGGAAAAAAUGCAAAUGAGACUUUAGAGAUUCCACUGUUGAGUGAAGAAGAUCCGGAUAGAGCAAGAGUUCAGUACGUUAAGGCUUGUCCAUAAGUGCACUAUGAAGUGCAUGUGUCGUUUCAUACAGGUUUGGAAUGACAUGAGAGUGAGUAAAUUACAAGUUUUAAUUUAUCAGACUGUAUAUAAGACAGUUCAUGACCAUCAAGUGCCACAUUCAGUGAGUCGACGUCAAUGACAAAAGACAGUCAUUGCGACACUGUAAAGUGAUGGCGCUAUGGAGCCAUGUGCCUUUAAACUGUUUUAAUAUGUUCAACGUUACAUUAUCAGCUCAGAAAAUACGCUAAUUUGACUAGAAACACUGGAGACCGGAAAUGUAAAGCAUCCUUCCUGUUACAAGUCAGGCGUGACUUCCACGUUCAGGAAAAGGUCUCUAUGAAAUAAUUACGCUUAAAUAUGUUAUUCAAACAAAUGUCCUGACAAGGUCCUCGGUUCAUGAGUCUGGAGGACGUUUUAUGUGGAGUUUGCAACAGAUGCAUCAGUCCAAAGACAUUCAGGAUUGUUCAACUGGAGUUCCUACAUUUGAGUUUAAAUGUGAAUGUGUUUUUCUGUGUGUGAGAGUCUUGUGAUGGACUGUUUCUCUGCCUUUGGGACAGACUCCAGCGUCCCUACAACACUACAGAGGACAAGCCGUUUGGAGAAUGGAUGAAUCUAAAUGUAAAGUGCCUUUAUAUUCACUCUGAAGCACUUGACUGAUGAACUCUGCCUUACUGCACUUCUACCAUUUUUUUUUUUUUUUUUGCACAUUUGUUCAGUAUUAAAGAACCUUUGAAUUAUUCACUUGUAUGCAUUAUUUCCUCUAUAAGUCGUUUGAAUAAAAUGUUCAUAAACGUA